GACGUAGGGCGCAAGCGUUGUCCGGAUUUAUUGGGCGUAAAGAGCUCGUAGGCGGUUUGUCGCGUCGAAUGUGAAAACCCGGGGCUCAACCCCGGGCCUGCAUUCGAUACGGGCAGACUAGAGUUCGGUAGGGGAGUCUGGAAUUCCUGGUGUAGCGGUGAAAUGCGCAGAUAUCAGGAGGAACACCGGUGGCGAAGGCGGGACUCUGGGCCGAUACUGACGCUGAGGAGCGAAAGCGUGGGGAGCAAACAGG
rnacentral:rRNA from 1 species